AACCCGUUCCCAAAAAACCCACCGCACCACGACCUUUGCCCACCGCACGCACGCACGAACCCCCACACGACGACCUUUCCCACACCCCGCACCUCCUCCUCCCAACGACCAGAGCAUGGUCGGGCCUUCGCCGCCGGCCGCCGCCCGCCCAUCCACGGUCAAGCCUCCGCCGCCGCUCCACGGCCAAGCCUCCGCCGCCGUUUGCAGCCGCCAUGGAAUGCCUGGAUGUCGUCAAGAUGCACGCAGGUGCAGCACCUGCAACGGAACGGAAGACCACCGAUGCUCUGCUCUUGAGACAACAGAUGCACGCAGAGGCUAGAUACAUACAUAGCAAUCGUCAGGCUCCAGUUUUGUACUGACCACUCCAAGGCUUGUUCAACCUGGUGAAUCUUUCCUUCAUCUGCAUCGUUUUUCGCUUCAGUCUGUACAUCCUCGCCCUCCGCCCACCGAUCCUAUUCUCCGCCGCCCGCCUUCCUCUGCUCCUCCUCUGCCGCCAACGAUCUCAUCUGAGCCAGUACAGAAUAUUGCCACUCAUCAACAUCUGCAACAUCUAAGUGAAGUGAUUAUGUGGAUCUUGUGAGGAAAACAGAUAGGCCAAUAAGCCUGGGAGGUUGUCUACAGUCACUGGCCUGGCCUUGAUGCAUUCCAGUCAGAGAAGGUGAUGGAGACCCUUAGACAGCUUGCAGAAGAUGGGCACACGGUCAUAUGCUCUAUACACCAGCCGAGAGGCUCAGUCUAUAGCAAAUGUGAUGACAUUGUGCUACUCUCAGAGGGAGAAGUUGUAUAUAUGGGGCCGGCAAAAGAAGAACCUCUAAAAUACUUUGCGUCAUUAGGGUACCAAUGCCCAGGUCAUGAGAACCCCGCUGAGUUCUUGGCUGAUCUCAUUUCCACUGAUUAUAGCUCAGCUGAAAGUGUACAGUCAUCACAUAAAAGGAUUGAGAACCUAAUUGAUGAUUUUGCAAAUAAGGUUCUAAUUACUGAAUUUAACAGUCCAGUAACACAGUCGGAGGGCUCUGAAUUUUCUACCAAACCUGCUCAGAAGUCCACUAGCAAGCAAAGACGUGGUUGGUGGAGACAAUUUCGUUUGAUAUUCAAGAGAGCAUGGAUGCAUGUUUUUCACGGAGCCUUGUCUGAUAGUGUCUUCCAGCUUUUUUCCUACUUCUGCCUUGAAAUUCGUUGAUAGGUUAUUUUGGCGUGUGUGUUUAGCUUAAAAUAAACCGGACCUAUACUGUAGCAAAUUCAGGGGAUCUAUCUUUUCAAUAUUUACUGUAAGUUGACACUUGGUGGCAUGUUGUGCUUUCACCAACUCUGUGGCUGAUGUAGCUGCAACAUGUAACUACUGCAUGAAAUGUGUAAGUAAACCAAGUAAUUUACCUGAGCUUAGCUGCCUGAAAUCUAAAUGGUUGUUUACCUGAAGAUUGACUAUCUAUUAGUUGAUUCUGAGAAGUAUUUCAGGCUUUUUGUGAUGGACCAACAAACAAAGUGAGAGCAAGAAUGUAUGUUACUUCAACAAUUAUAUUUGGAUCAGUGUUCUGGCGAAUGGGGAAAACUCAAACUUCCAUACAAGAUAGGAUGGGACUUCUUCAGGUGGCUGCCAUAAACACAGCAAUGGCUGCUCUGACAAAGACGGUGGGGGUUUUCCCGAAAGAACGAGCUAUAGUUGACAGGAACGUGCAAAGGGUUCCUAUGCACUAGGACCAUAUCUCUCUUCUAAGAUGCUGGCCGAGAUUCCGAUUGGAGCAGCAUUUCCAUUGAUAUUUGGAUCCAUUCUCUAUCCAAUGGCUAAACUUCAUCCUACAGUUUCUAGCCAUUCUUGGAAGAAUGCAACUGCAGCUUAAUUGGAGUUGAACUGGAGGUAACAUUUGGAAUUACUUGGAAGUUGGAACACAAGUGGAGUGUGUUAUGACGAUUGCUCAAAGGAACUUUGGUCAUAUUGCUUGACAACAUGUCAAUCACUCUUCUGCAACUCAGAUAAAAACAAUUUGAAUUAAAAAAAUGCAAAAUCGAGUUUGAGUUGAUAGGGUAUAUAUAAUAUCUGAAAACAAAUAGAAAACAUGCCAGUGUUCCGAGAAUGCAACAUCCCAGUCCACGACAAGAAAAAAUGAUCAGCUAAAUUUCUUGACUCAUAACAAGAGUCAGUGGCUUGCAUUCUCCCAAAUGCUUUGUAUCAUUUGUUGAAAUUCUAGACUCCUUUUAUUCCAUAUUGUUGAUAUCUAUGCAACUAGAGCAGCUAAAUUAUUAAGUGUUUUUUAGUACACCUGAUCAAAAACAGUUGUUGACCUUUUGCGAGUGCACCUUUGCAAAUACUGGUAGAAAGUUGUGCAUCUGUGCCUGCCAAGCUGUAACAGGCAGUGUUCACAGGCUGAUAUAUUUUUUGAUUCGGUGAUUUGAUUGAUCACAACCCGACCAGCACAAUGUAUCUUCUAUGGCUUGCACUUUAUGUCCACAUUUACUAUAGUGAUGGACUAUCUAAGGCUCAGCAAAAUUUCUACAAGAAUACAACUUUCGCUGAAAGCCUAUUCUUAUAUUUGUUUCUAUUCUCAACAUUCAUUUUUAUUUGUGUCCUCACUGCGUUCUUCCUUUCUAGGAAUCAGGUCUAUAUUUUUUUUUACCAUUCAAGGCAUAUGUGCACACAGAAGCCGUUUUGCAUGUAUCUGAAUCUUCCUGUCUGGUACUUGUGCUGGGAAGCAAAAUGUGAAAACAAAAACCAAUACAUCCAGAUUGUGCAUUAUUUUGGUGUGUUUUCAGUUUCCAUAGCUUUUCAUAUGAAUGUGAAUAUACAUGCCAUAUUUUCUAUUGCAAGGUGCCAGAGGACAUGUUGCAGAGAGUAUUACCAAUUACAAUUCAAACUUACUGGAGACAGUUACCACUUGCAAUUCACAUUAUUAUGUAUUUGGUUUGCUCACUCUUUAUCCCCUCGUACUUGUUGAUGGUAUUGCUCAUACUAUACUUUUGGCCAACAUUGCACGCAUGAUUUCUAGCAAAGAACAUGUGUUAUUCUUGUUUAAAUAGGGAACAUGUGACAUUCUUUAUUUUUAUUUGAAUGGGAACAUUUUUCUGUUAAGAACAUUUUGUAAGGCCAUCAAAGAUGCACGUCAAAGGAGUAAGGCCAUGCCCUUUUGGCCGUCCAAUGGAAAGCAACAAAGUGAAACCAUUCUAUGUCCUAAUUUUUUCUUGCUUUAAAUACUCUUAGCUUUAGCUAUAUCAGUCAAUACGUGCACUGAACGAUAUGAUUACUAUGAUUUUUUUUUUGAGAAUUUACUAUGAGUCUAUUAUGAAUGGCAUUGAGUGUCAUUGUCGUAUCCUUUUACUGAUUUUUCUUUAUGGUAAUAAUGAUAAAAAAGAAGCAUAUUGUGGUGUAUGAAAUAUUAUCGUACUACAAGAUAAUUUUAUAUUUUUAUACCAUUUCCUCUUUAGUAUACAUGUGUUAUAUACUUUUGAUUGACUUCAAUCAGACACGCAAACUGUAGACUUGGACAUACGGUCACUUGUUACAUACAUUUAUUAAUCUUUAAUAUUAUUUGCACCUUCUUCAUUUGUCCUUGUGAAUUAGUUUUUUCUUCUACUAAAAACACUAUUAUUUAGUGAAACAUGUGUAGAUAAUUUUCGCAAAAAGAAGAAACAUGUGUAGAUUAAAAAAAUUCACAAAAAGAAGAAACAUGUGUAGAUAAAAAAACUAUGUAAAACUAGACAACUAUUUUCAUAAUUAUUUUGUGGCAAUUAAGACGUGUGUUGCACGUGCAAGCUUACUAGUAUAUUUCUAAAGAACUCUCAGAUAAAUACAUGAACAUAUAUCGAGUAAUAGAGCAAGAGUUAAAAGGGUAAUCUCUUGCCAAGAACGCAGUGCUUUGCCUCUGUAAAAUUUUGAGUUUGAAGUACAAAUGCAAUAAUGGUGUACCAUUUUUUAAAAGCGUGAUCCAGCACCAGUAGAGUAGGUAAAUUAGACAAUCUUUUCACACCUUAGCCUAAGUUGCUAGCUUCACACUAUUUCUUAUGAAUAAAGAUUCUGAGAUGGUAUAGAGUAUAAUCCAUGCAGAUAUUCCUGGAAUAACUAACUUGGAAUUGCACUAACUAAAACAGGGAGGAAUUGUUAAUGUAGGAUAAAGUCAAUCCUGGUUCAAAAUUUAACCUGGGCAGAACAAAAGCUAAUGCCUGCUUCUUUUAUUUUGUUGUUUGGAACAGCGUCAUCAUCUACUCUUCAUAGGAACAAUAGAGAAAUAUAUAAAAUUUAUAACUCUAAAUCACCAAAGAGGGUAGUUGUCUCGGACUGAAAAAGCUACCUGUUCAUUUUUCCAUGCCAAGCUAUUGUACCGUACUAUAUUUAAUCCAUCAUCACAUUACACUGGAACAGUUGGAACAAAGAGAUACAGAAAUAAUGGCACGUCAUGUAGCCAUUAGCAUUGCAACAAAUUGUAAGAUGCAGAUAUUGAAGCACCCUACUGUCAGAAAUAAUCCCACAUUUUGUAGCCAUCAGCUAAACUCAAUCAGAUAGUUUCCGCAUAAAUGUAACUGAAAAAACCAACCGAUGUAACAUGCAUUAUUGAUUGCUGCAAGAUAUAAAGAAGGAUUAACACGCCAUGCAUUAGAUGGCAGAAGGCUAAACAUAACAAAAAUAGUAGAAGCGAAUCCUGAAAGGCACAUAUGUAUGGAAGAAAUAGGAUUCGUGGGAAUACGCAGGUAGAGGAAUACCGUGUGGUACAACACAUCAGAUUGAAGCCCUUGCAAUUGUUGGUCUGUUCAGGUCUUGAAGCAAAAGGACUCCUAAUAAUAUUCGCUACCAGGUUGUUCCUCUGUGGCCGAAAGGAGACCCGGGUCGGUUGUCCGGGCGAGAGCGAACCAAGGUGCGGGAGAGCUGUCGAAGGCAACUGGACCAGCAGCCAGAGUCGGAGUCCAUCAGCAACAGGACAAGGUUUCUGUAGAACAGUAACUUCAGAGACGCGAGAAUGGUGCAGCGGGAACAUAGGUAAUACAGUAACUUAUGUAACUUCCGGACAGGAUGUGAAGGGGAUCACCGGUGUGGGAGAUGCGAAGGUCGAACUCGAGAUGUUGAUGUAGAGGUUGCAGCCGAGGCCAGCUUGGUCGGGGCGGUUGAUGAUGAUUACGUUGUCUUCCGCCGCCGCCAGCUCCAUCACCAUCGUGACCUCCACCC